GGGGAGGGCCGGAUCCUGGGCUGUGUCCCCCGGCGCCUUGUGCUCCAGGGCCUGCACCACUGGAAUCACGCUCCCAGGACCCUGCAGCUCCCU
rnacentral:pre_miRNA from 1 species